GACGAACGCUGGCGGCGUGCUUAACACAUGCAAGUCGAACGGAAAGGCCCUGCUUUUGUGGGGUUCUCGAGUGGCGAACGGGUGAGUAACACGUGAGUAACCUGCCCUUGACUUUGGGAUAACUUCAGGAAACUGGGGCUAAUACCGUAUAGGAGCUCCUGCUGCAUGGUGGGGGUUGGAAAGUUUCGGCGGUUGGGGAUGGACUCGCGGCUUAUCAGCUUGUUGGUGGGGUAGUGGCUUACCAAGGCUUUGACGGGUAGCCGGCCUGAGAGGGUGACCGGCCACAUUGGGACUGAGAUACGGCCCAGACUCCUACGGGAGGCAGCAGUGGGGAAUAUUGCACAAUGGGCGGAAGCCUGAUGCAGCAACGCCGCGUGCGGGAUGACGGCCUUCGGGUUGUAAACCGCUUUCGCCUGUGACGAAGCGUGAGUGACGGUAAUGGGUAAAGAAGCACCGGCUAACUACGUG
rnacentral:rRNA from 1 species